rnacentral:rRNA from 1 species
AAGUCGAGCGAGACCUUCGGGUCUAGCGGCGGACGGGUUAGUAACGCGUGGGAACGUGCCCUUCUCUGCGGAAUAGCCACUGGAAACGGUGAGUAAUACCGCAUACGCCCUUCGGGGGAAAGAUUUAUCGGAGAAGGAUCGGCCCGCGUUAGAUUAGAUAGUUGGUGGGGUAACGGCCUACCAAGUCUACGAUCUAUAGCUGGUUUUAGAGGAUGAUCAGCAACACUGGGACUGAGACACGGCCCAGACUCCUACGGGAGGCAGCAGUGGGGAAUCUUAGACAAUGGGCGCAAGCCUGAUCUAGCCAUGCCGCGUGUGUGAUGAAGGUCUUAGGAUCGUAAAGCACUUUCGCCAGGGAUGAUAAUGACAGUACCUGGUAAAGAAACCCCGGCUAACUCCGUGCCAGCAGCCGCGGUAA